rnacentral:lncRNA from 10 species
GGGAAAGGGGCCUCGUGGAGGUUAUGAAAUCCAGCAGGUCAUGGAAGGAGAAACGAUUGACAAUCCAGACGGGAUGGAGGCAUCAGCACUCCUGGUUUGGGGGACUUAGGAUUCAGACUGGGACCUAUGCCAUUGGUUUCCCUGGUUCUCAGGCCUCUGGGCUUCAUUGGACUGGAACUAUACUACCAGUUUUCCUGGGUCUUCAGCUUGCAGAUGGCAGAUUGUGGAACUUCUCAGUCUUCAUAAUUGUGU